rnacentral:rRNA from 1 species
UACGAAGGGGGCUAGCGUUGCUCGGAAUCACUGGGCGUAAAGGGUGCGUAGGCGGGUUUUUAAGUCAGAGGUGAAAUCCUGGAGCUCAACUCCAGAACUGCCUUUGAUACUGAGAAUCUUGAGUUCGGGAGAGGUGAGUGGAACUGCGAGUGUAGAGGUGAAAUUCGUAGAUAUUCGCAAGAACACCAGUGGCGAAGGCGGCUCACUGGUCCGGUACUGACGCUGAGGUGCGAAAGCGUGGGGAGCAAACAGG